rnacentral:tRNA from 2 species
GAGUCUAUAGCUUAAAGGUUAGAGCGUACGCCUUGAUAAGCGUAAGGUUGGUUGUUCGAAUCAACCUAGACUCA